UUUUUAACUGAAACCUGAGAUUGGCCUAUUUAAUAGAACAAAAACUUUAUCUUUGUACAAUCAGGCCCAAAAAUUGACAGAUCCAUUAAUGAAAAACUUGAUAUGUAUAAGAAACAAAACAAAAAUCAAAUCAUAUUCCUCAAAUUAGAAAAGUUCAAGAAUCUAAGUCUUUUUUCUAUCUAUCGCUAAAAAUCUGGGAUGAUGUUCUUAUAUUUUCAUCUUGAUUCUAGCUCCAUGGGUGAAGCUUGAUUCCAGUUGACCUGUGAUGCUUAUUUAUACUCUGAUUUACUCCAAGCUAAGUUAAAACCUUUACUGUGCAUUAUCUUAUUCUUUUUCCUCAAAUCGAUGUCAUGUACUUUCUAUAAAGUUGGUACCAUUAUUAGAUCUGAUAAAUUGGAAUUCAAGAACCCUAAUUUCAUAGUUCAUCUAUUUCCUUGAUGUAGAUGCCCGGUUUUAAAAAGAAGGUGUGAAAACCCCAUUCAUGUUACCCCUGUGCGAAUGUUUGCAUCCAAUGCCACCACAAGCUCUCACCAGGUGUAGAUGCCCAUAUACGUUAAAAUUAUUUCACACAAAGGUUCUGAGGUCCAGUCCCGUGGUCCCGCUAAGUAGUAGAUCGUUAGCAUAUAAUCAGAGUUGGUGAGCCUCCCUUAUUUUCGAAAGGUUGACUGGGAGGAUGAGAAAAUUUGUUUCCAGACAAUUGCUGCUGCUCUAGGAAAUUUUUAUGCCAUGCAUCCACCAUUAUUGCCUAAUCCCUCAGGUGAUGGCUUGAAAUUCUACAGAAAGAGAGUGCUUUCAAGUGGUUCAGAAGGAACUUCUACUGAAAACAUCGAGAAUGAUACCAUGGAGGCUGAAAUUGAGGAGGAAUUACUUUUAGAGGCCGAAAAUGCCUGGCCUCAACGUGAAUGGUCAAUUCAGCAUGUUCUGUUUCCCUUCCUCAGACUCUUCUUCAAUCCCCCUACUUCCAUGGCUACAAAUGGAACUUUUGUUGAGGUUGCAUCACUGGAAAAGCUCUACAGAUUUUUUGAGAGAUGUUAAGCGUAGGAGAAUUUUGAUGCGGCCUCCUUGAAGCUAAAGGAUAUACAAAUGUACAGUUUCUGAUUUGAGAACAAAAUUCUCAGGCCCCUACCCCCCAAGAACCAAAAAAUGAGACUGGAACAAGUUCUUUUUUUUUUUUUUUUUAAAAGAGUGGAAGAAGUUGUCUGGAAGAGGCACCGUGAACAUUGCAGACCAAAGGCCUGGGCAAAUCCUGUGUAGUCUGUACCUAAAUAGCAAAUAUCUUAAUUAGGACAAACAUGAAAUAAUUGGCAGGUUUAAAAUCUAUCAGGUCAAAAUCAUGAUCUUCUUAGUAGAAA